UUGGCAGCCCCGGCUCGCGGUUACGAAAGCUGGAUGGCGCAACCGCGCAGCGCGGCGGGCCACCGGAGGGGCGGCUUCCUGCAGCCUGGCCACACCUGGGCCGAGGCGCGGGGGACCCUCACCCGGCCCCUCCCGGGCUCGCCACGCGGGGCGAAGGGGAAGGACCCCACCGCCGCCCCCGCCGGGGGGAGGGGCUCUGGUUUUGGCCUUUGCUUUCCUGAGUGCGAUCGCGGAGGGAAGUCCAGUGGCUCUGGCUGUUGAACAGCGCAGGGCGAAUCCCGGGUCCUUACACACACCAUCCGGAGAGUCCGGAAGCACGCCGGUGUCGGCGUCGACCCCAGAGGCUGUGAUUUAAUUGCUCUGAGCGAAGACUUAGGCAUCCGAAACCUGACAGAGGAAAAGGCUUCCUUUGGCCUCCCAGCCCAGCGGCCCUUUGAAGGCUGCAGCAGAGGCAACAAAAAACACUCAUGAUGAAGAUUACUGGGAACGCCAUCUAAGUACCCGGACCCCAAGUACUCAACGAGGAAUCGGGCCCUGACUGUCCUCAUGACUUGACUGGACGCAAAGGAAAAGGCACUUGCAGACUCCCCUUGUGGUGGCUUCUUCCUUUCUGUGGUGCUUGGAGACCUGAAAAUAAUUGCAGAGAGGCAAGCUGCCGGCCUGAAACAGGAAGACUGCAGCAGGCUGCCCGCUCAGAUAGAGUUUAAUAAAGAAUGUUGAAGGCAAGAGCAGGCAUCUCAGGCACGGC